rnacentral:lncRNA from 1 species
AUCAAAAAGCAAGGCACAUGGAUAAUGGUCCAAAUCAAUUUUGAUUGAUGUUGUUGAUGUUUGUAUACUAAUAUAACAUUGUUUUGUAGGUUGUGGAGCUUGGGGCUUGAGCCUUGAGCUUGCCUUGUGUUGUGCAUAGUUUGUUUAAACUGAUUGAUUAUACACUUGUUGUUUAUGGUUUGUCUGCUUGAUUACUGACUGAGUUUGAUUGUUUCCAGGUACUUUAGUUGCUCAGUUCCUUGUGAACUAUUGCUUUGCUUUGCUUAAGCAACUUGCAU